GACGAACGCUGGAGGCGUGCUUAACACAUGCAAGUCGAACGGAAAGGCCCUGCUUUUGUGGGGUGCUCGAGUGGCGAACGGGUGAGUAACACGUGAGUAACCUGCCCUUGACUUUGGGAUAACUUCAGGAAACUGGGGCUAAUACCGGAUAGGAGCUCCUGCUGCAUGGUGGGGGUUGGAAAGUUUCGGCGGUUGGGGAUGGACUCGCGGCUUAUCAGCUUGUUGGUGGGGUAGUGGCUUACCAAGGCUUUGACGGGUAGCCGGCCUGAGAGGGUGACCGGCCACAUUGGGACUGAGAUACGGCCCAGACUCCUACGGGAGGCAGCAGUGGGGAAUAUUGCACAAUGGGCGGAAGCCUGAUGCAGCAACGCCGCGUGCGGGAUGACGGCCUUCGGGUUGUAAACCGCUUUCGCCUGUGACGAAGCGUGAGUGACGGUAAUGGGUAAAGAAGCACCGGCUAACUACGUG
rnacentral:rRNA from 1 species